CCUACGGGUGGCAGCAGUGAGGAAUAUUGGUCAAUGGACGCGAGUCUGAACCAGCCAUGCCGCGUGCAGGAUGACGGCCCUAUGAGUUGUAACCUUCUUUUGUACGAGGGUAAAGGCAGAUACGCGUAUCUGUCUGAAAGUAUCGUACGAAUAAGGAUCGGCUAACUCUGUGCCAGCAGCCGCGGUAAUACGGAGGAUUCGAGCGUUAUCCGGAUUUAUUGGGUUUAAAGGGUGCGUAGGCGGGCGGAUAAGUUAGAGGUGAAAUCCCGAGGCUCAACUUGGGAAUUGCCUAUGAUACUGGUAGGCUAGAGAGUAGUUGCGGUAGGCGGAAUGUAUGGUGUAGCGGUGAAAUGCUUAGAGAUCAUACAGAACACCGAUUGCGAAGGCAGCUUACUAAGCUACUUCUGACGUUGAUGCACGAAAGUGUGGGGAGCAAACAGGAUUAGAUACCCUGGUAGUC
rnacentral:rRNA from 1 species